AUCUUUCUAAUAUAGUAAGUAUAUUUGACUUCCAAUCAAAAUGGCCAUUUUAUGGGAAAGAUA
rnacentral:tRNA from 1 species